rnacentral:rRNA from 2 species
GGACUACUGGGGUAUCUAAUCCUGUUUGCUCCCCACGCUUUCGCGCCUCAGCGUCAGUCUCGGUCCAGAGCGCCGCCUUCGCCACCGGUGUUCUUCCCAAUAUCUACGAAUUUCACCUCUACACUGGGAAUUCCACGCUCCUCUCCCGAACUCAAGCCAACCAGUCUCGAGCGCAAUUCCCAGGUUGAGCCCGGGGCUUUCACACUCGACUUGAUCGGCCGCCUACGCGCCCUUUACGCCCAGUAAAUCCGAACAACGCUCGCCCCCUUCGUAUUACCGCGGCUGCUGGCAC